rnacentral:rRNA from 1 species
UACGAAGGGGGCUAGCGUUGCUCGGAAUUACUGGGCGUAAAGGGCGCGUAGGCGGCACUGUUAGUCAGGCGUGAAAGUCCUGGGCUCAACCUGGGAACUGCGCUUGAUACGGCAGAGCUAGAGGAUGGAAGAGGCUCGCGGAAUUCCCAGUGUAGAGGUGAAAUUCGUAGAUAUUCGCAAGAACACCAGUGGCGAAGGCGGCUCACUGGCCCGAUACUGCCGCUGAGGCACGAAAGCGUGGGGAGCAAACAGG